rnacentral:rRNA from 1 species
UACAGAGGGUGCAAGCGUUGUUCGGAAUUACUGGGCGUAAAGCGCGUGUAGGCGGCGUCGUUAGUCGGAUGUGAAAGCCCUCGGCUCAACCGAGGAAGUGCAUCCGAUACUGCGAUGCUUGAGUGUUGGAGGGGGUGGCGGAAUUCCCGGUGUAGAGGUGAAAUUCGUAGAUAUCGAGAGGAAUACCAACGGCGAAGGCAGGUCACUGGGCAGUUACUGACACUGAGGCACGAAGGCCAGGGGGAGCAAACGGG